GACAGAGGGUGCAAACGUUGCUCGGAAUCACUGGGCGUAAAGGGCGUGUAGGCGGAAUCGCAAGUCGGGCGUGAAAGCCCCAGGCUCAACCUGGGAACUGCACCCGAAACUGCGUUUCUUGAGUGCUGGAGAGGAAAGCGGAAUACCUGGUGUAGAGGUGAAAUUCGUAGAUAUCAGGUGGAACACCAGUGGCGAAGGCGGCUUUCUGGACAGUAACUGACGCUGAGACGCGAAAGCGUGGGGAGCAAAC
rnacentral:rRNA from 1 species